CAAUCCUUUUGUAUAUUAAGGUAGAGACCGAUAGCAACCACGUGAUCAGUAAAAAUCGUGUAUUUUCACGUGAAAUUAUUUUUCGGAAUUCCGUACAUCGCCAUAGAGUAGUUGAAAAACAAAAAGGGGUUCCGAAAGUACAAGUUGCUGUGACUGAAUCGAUGAUUGAGAGGGUCGUCUCGACGAAAGAUAUAGAAAUUUGGCCAUAGUUUAGAUUAGGAAUACGUCAAUGUAAUAAUAGUGGACUAAAUGUUUCGUCCGUGCAGAAUGGCACUUUUUACCUCACGAAAUUCACCACCAUGCAUAGCUGCGCUACGUAAACAAAGUUGUUGAUGUAGCGUGAUCGUGGUGUCCGAGUGCUGCGAGUUUCAAUACUGUUUAUGUAGUCAUUGAGAGUUUAAACAAAGUUUCUUCUGAGAAGAGGAAUUCGAUGGAUGCAUUCAACGUGGACAACGAAAUCAUAAUUUCGUUUGCAUCAUCCUAAGGACAAGUGCAAGUUGAAAUGGGCUUCCAGCCAACAACUUCAACAGCAAUUUGCCAUGAAAAUCAGCAAGAAAGGUACUUCAUUUACAUUGAUGAUGUCAUAUCCCCUGGACCCCACAACUUCACAGGUUACAGAGAAAAUUCAAGAACUUCUGCAAAAUGUGGGACUUGGAUAGAAUCAAUAAUGUAUUUGUGAGCCCAGAGCAAUGGAUAUAUUGUGCAACAUACUAAAGUGUGAAUUUAAUGGAAAACAAGUACAUGUACUCAUGUAUUACAUGUCUUUUUUAAAGACAAUAAUAUUGUAUAAAUAUAGAGGAAGUGUCAUUGUUGAUUAUUCUAAGUUUUUGAUAUAUCAAAAUCAGUAAACAUUUCUAAAUGAAAAUAAAAUACCAAUUUUAUAACUUUAA